GUACCUUUAGAUCAGUUGGUUAGAGCAGACGGCUCAUAACCGUCCGGUCGUAGGUUCGAGUCCUACAGGGUACA
rnacentral:tRNA from 1 species